CCCGGCCGCUCCUCCGCCGAGCCUGGGGGAGGGAAGACGAGGUUGGAGGUCUCGGGACCCUCCCCUCCCGAGGGCCCCAGCUGCAGGCGCCGCCCCGGCAGCUCGCUGCUCCCUGGGGUGCCCGCACCCCACCUUGCCCUGGCGCUCCAGCGUGGGGGGGCGGGGGAGUGCGGGCGUCGGUCUCGGUGAGCCCUCGCCAUCCUCCGGCCCCGAGGCGUGUGCUCUGGCCCCCCCGCGCCCCGGGCAGCCCCGCUCCGCGCCGGGGACGCGCGGGAUCGUGGGGUUCUCGGAGGCGCACAGUGCCCGCGGAGAGCUGUAAGCCAGGAGUUAAGUAAGGUACGGGCGGCGAGCGUGGAGGAAGGGAGCGCAGAAAGUGAGCGGGGGCGGGGAGGACGGAGCGGGAACGUCCUGUGCCCGCCGCGGGAGGCUCCGCCCCACGCCCGCCUCGGCUGGGGGCGCGGGCCGCCCACCUAGCGCACUAACCUCGUCAGUCUCAGUGCCUUAGCCGGAGUGAGAGCCACCCGGAGGCCUCCGACUCUGGUUCCCGGGCCGGGGUUCGUGCGCGGGAGAAGGAAACGGACUGCGAUGACGGAAUUUGUCCAAAGCCCACACAGCCGUGAUUUGAACCCAAGCCUUCAGCGGAGUCCAGUGUUUCCUUAGCUUUGGCGCAUACAGGGCCGUCCUCAGUAAUGGCCUAGCUGGAUGUUUCCCAUCCCCGCCCCCACCCCCAGCAUCUGGAGCUCUGCAGUGAACCAGGCUGAAGCACCUGCCAGGGUCAGGGUGUAAGGAACGAGGAAGUAGCCUCAGGGUUUCACAGGUGGUUAGGUGGUUUUAGGAGCAAAGCAUCUCAGGGGAAUGGGCUGUGUGCCUGGUUUAGGAAUUUGUGGGGGCUUCAGAGAGGGCUCUGGAGUCCCUGAAGGUGGUGAGAUGGGUUCCAGGAGUUGGGAUUCAGUAGCCUGGAAGGGGCAGUGGUGAUGCGAGGGCUGAAGGGUUUGCUUCUCAGACCUGACACUGCGAGGUGCCCUCCCACCGGUCCCACAGCCUGAGUUCCCCAGCAUUUUGCCCAGGUGAAACUUCCGGAUUGUCAUAAAACCGACGUUUAUUGAAGUCUGUGUGCUGGGCACAGUUCCAAGAGCUCCGCUAAAUCCUUCACAGAAAGUGGGUCUUACUAGUCCCAUUUUACAGGUGGGGAAAAUGAGGUGUAAGGAUUGCUAAGUCAGUGGCUGAAGUGGUUUCGAACACGGCUGUCUGGUCAGGGCCCGGCCUGUCACCCACCCUGAUAUUCUGCACUGAGCUUGGGGGAUCGGGCCCUGGAGGUAAAAUUCUGGCACAGAUGGCACAGAGGUGGGUGCCAGGGCAGCCCGAGACCUUGCUGAGGCCAGGUGAGGACCUCAGGCCACCUCUGUGUAUGUUGGCUCUCAACUUCCCUCUGGACAGCUGUGCCGGAUUUCUAGAUUGGACAGAAAAACAAA
rnacentral:lncRNA from 1 species